GCCAAAUUCACCGGUGCUGGGUUUUAAGAUUGUAUUACUGGUGAAGAUUGUGGUGAGAGAGAAAUUUUAAGGAAUAAUUUAUUGAAAAAGCCACAAGGAGAAGAGCCACGAGUGACACGUGGAGGAGUCCCAGAGGCUUAGUGGUAUAGAUCCACUGUCUCUUUUGGGUAUUUAAUUUAUGAUUUAUAAUGUGUUAUAUUGCCAAUAUUAGGGCUUUUUGUUUAUUGUCAAUUAUAUGAAUAUAUAAAUGUAAUCAUGCCUUUCAAACUAUUUCUAUUUUUAGUACAAUUUGGAUGACUGUAAUUUUAA